rnacentral:rRNA from 1 species
AUAUCAGUCAGCGGAGGAAAAGAAAGCAACUGCGAUUCCCUUAGUAACUGCGAGUGAAACGGGAGCAGCUCAACACUAAAUCGGGUGGCCUUCGUGACCAUUCCGAGGUGUAGUGUAUCGAAGCGACUCGGGUGAUAAGUCCUGUUAAGUUGUUGGAAAACAACGCCAUAGAGGGUGAUAGCCCCGUUGCAGGAUGAUGCAUCCAUAGUAGUCGACUUCGCCGAGUCGCACUGUUUGAGAGUACAGUGCAAAUUGGGAGAUGAAUUUCUCCUAAAGCUAAAUACACACUGGAGACCGAUAGCGCACAAGUA